GGCUCGAGGACGAACGCUGGCGGCGUGCCUAACACAUGCAAGUCGAGCGAUGAAAUCCUUCGGGAUGGAUUAGCGGCGGACGGGUGAGUAACACGUGGGUAACCUGCCUUGUAGAGGGGGAUAGCCUUCCGAAAGGAAGAUUAAUACCGCAUAACAUCUUUUUAUCGCAUGGUAGAAAGAUCAAAGGAGUAAUCCGCUACAAGAUGGACCCGCGGCGCAUUAGCUAGUUGGUGAGGUAACGGCUCACCAAGGCGACGAUGCGUAGCCGACCUGAGAGGGUGAUCGGCCACAUUGGAACUGAGACACGGUCCAGACUCCUACGGGAGGCAGCAGUGGGGAAUAUUGCGCAAUGGGGGGAAACCCUGACGCAGCAACGCCGCGUGAAUGAAGAAGGCCUUAGGGUUGUAAAGUUCUGUUUACGGGGACGAUAAUGACGGUACCCGUGGAGGAAGCCACGGCUAACUACGUGCCAGCCGCCGC
rnacentral:rRNA from 1 species